rnacentral:rRNA from 1 species
GACGAACGCUGGCGGCGUGCCUAAUACAUGCAAGUCGAGCGAAGUUUUUCUGGUGCUUGCACCGGAAAAACUUAGCGGCGAACGGGUGAGUAACACGUAAAGAACCUGCCUCAUAGACUGGGACAACUAUUGGAAACGAUAGCUAAUACCGGAUAAUAGCAUUAACUGCAUGGUUGAUGUUUAAAAGUUGGUUUUGCUAACACUAUGAGAUGGCUUUGCGGUGCAUUAGCUAGUUGGUGGGGUAAAGGCCUACCAAGGCGACGAUGCAUAGCCGACCUGAGAGGGUGAUCGGCCACACUGGGACUGAGACACGGCCCAGACUCCUACGGGAGGCAGCAGUAGGGAAUCUUCCGCAAUGGGCGAAAGCCUGACGGAGCAACGCCGCGUGAGUGAAGAAGGAUUUCGGUUCGUAAAGCUCUGUUGUUAGGGAAGAAUGAUUGUGUAGUAACUAUACACAGUAGAGACGGUACCUAAACAGAAAGCCACGGCUAACUACGUG